rnacentral:rRNA from 1 species
CCUACGGGGUGCAGCAGUGGGGAAUAUUGGACAAUGGGCGAAAGCCUGAUCCAGCCAUGCCGCGUGUGUGAAGAAGGCCUUCGGGUUGUAAAGCACUUUCAGUGGGGAAGAAAGCCUUGGGGCUAAUACCCUCGAGGAAGGACAUCACCCACAGAAGAAGCACCGGCUAACUCCGUGCCAGCAGCCGCGGUAAUACGGAGGGUGCGAGCGUUAAUCGGAAUUACUGGGCGUAAAGCGCGCGUAGGCGGUCUGAUAAGCCGGUUGUGAAAGCCCCGGGCUCAACCUGGGAACGGCAUCCGGAACUGUCAGGCUAGAGUGCAGGAGAGGAAGGUAGAAUUCCCGGUGUAGCGGUGAAAUGCGUAGAGAUCGGGAGGAAUACCAGUGGCGAAGGCGGCCUUCUGGACUGACACUGACGCUGAGGUGCGAAAGCGUGGGUAGCAAACAGGAUUAGAUUACCCUAGUAGUC